GGCAAAAAGAUUUUUAACAAUUUCCCAUUUUUGUGGUCUAUGUGGGUGCGCGCGCCCUUUAAUACGCGUCUGCAAAGGGUACCUACCCUGGGUACCAGAGCCUCCAGACUUCUCUCCUCCAGUGACGCUGAACCAAAAUGCCGCGACGAGCAAGACUGGAGGCUCUGGUACCCAGGGUAGCUAAUACCAUAAGGGAACGGAAAUUCCACUCUCGGUUAGUUCGGUUCACAUCGGUUCGAAAGAAUGGCUCAUUAUAAAAGGAUUUAUAAGCUCUGAUUUGCAACAAAUUUCUCUCUCUAUAUAUAUAGGUAAUGUGUUGUUUCUCUUUUCAUAGUUGGUGUAUGGUAUGACCUGACAAAAACAGAACUAGGGUCGGAUGUUCGAACGUCUGGGCUGCACCUCGGGACUCCAGGGUUCCAGUUCGUUAAGUUCCCCAGUGUCUUCAAGACCCUUAUAUUUAAAAAUCUUACGUGUCUGAAAAAGGACGGUCUUGAAAUUGAAAUACGACAGCAGUUCCAGUACAGAGCAAGACCUAACGACUUGAGAAGUAUAAUCCAAGAAUACCGCAGCCAUGACAACUUCGUCACCAUCUUAAGGAGACAGCUAAAGAAAACAUCAAGCUUGCAGAAACCCAGAGACCACGCCUUUUGAUCCAAGCGAACACCCGUAAGCAAGAGGCUAUCAGCGCGGCCGACAUCAACAUGCGGAAAGCCGACGCGGAUGUCAGCAUCAUCCUGGCCACAGCACAAGCCAAGGCGUCUGAGAUCGCGGCGGCGUUCGAGUCAGAGGCCGCGGCGUAUGAGGGCGUAAUGCAGACGCAAAACUUGACUGUAGACGGGCUACUCUCGUAUUUGAGCGUACGGGUGGUGGCCGAGUCCAAGAGUGUAAACGUCGCUCUGAAGGCACCGGCACAGACGCAGUAUACGUAUCCAUAGCAACAAUGAUCACGUGAUUUAUCCUGUGCAGGUCACGCGCUUAAACAUGUGAAGGGCACCUGCUCAGACGUAUACGUACCAACGCAAUAGCAACCAUACACAUGUGAGACUAUGAUCAUGUAUUGUUACUUAUCAAGCAUGCGUAGGGCACAGCUCUGAUCCACACUACUGUACAGCAUUUUUAUACCUGUCUGGUGUAAACGCGUUGGAUUGUGCAUAUGGCUUGGACAAAUGAUUUUAAUUUUAUUGAAUAAAACUGGCAACGUACGACAUAAAAGAGGAUAGGAGGUCAACGCGCCAUGCCAUGCCUUGUUAGGUCACAAUGGUUGUACGUCAAAGAAAUUAAAGUGUUUUAAGUCCU